rnacentral:rRNA from 1 species
UACGUAGGCAGCGAGCGUUGUUCGGAGUUACUGGGCGUAAAGGGUGUGUAGGCGGUUGUUUAAGUUUGGUGUGAAAUCUCCCGGCUCAACUGGGAGGGUGCGCCGAAUACUGAAUGACUUGGAGUGCGGGAGAGGUGAGUGGAAUUCCUGGUGUAGCGGUGAAAUGCGUAGAUAUCAGGAGGAACACCGGUGGUGUAGACAGCUUACUGGACCACUUCUGACGCUGAGACACGAAAGCGUGGGUAGCAAACAGG